rnacentral:rRNA from 1 species
UACGUAGGGUGCGAGCGUUGUCCGGAAUUAUUGGGCGUAAAGGGCUCGUAGGCGGUCUGUCACGUCGAAAGUGAAAACUCAGGGCUUAACCCUGAGCCUGCUUCCGAUACGGGCAGACUAGAGGUAUGCAGGGGAGAACGGAAUUCCUGGUGUAGCGGUGAAAUGCGCAGAUAUCAGGAGGAACACCGGUGGCGAAGGCGGUUCUCUGGGCAUUACCUGACGCUGAGGAGCGAAAGCGUGGGGAGCGAACAGG